UACGAAGGGGGCUAGCGUUGCUCGGAAUCACUGGGCGUAAAGCGCACGUAGGCGGCUUGCUAAGUCAGGGGUGAAAUCCUGGAGCUCAACUCCAGAACUGCCUUUGAUACUGGCGAUCUCGAGUCCGGGAGAGGUGAGUGGAACUGCGAGUGUAGAGGUGAAAUUCGUAGAUAUUCGCAAGAACACCAGUGGCGAAGGCGGCUCACUGGCCCGGUACUGACGCUGAGGCGCGAAAGCGUGGGUAGCAAACGGG
rnacentral:rRNA from 1 species